GCGACAGGCUGCAGGGGCGGGAGGCAAGGGACACGCUAUGCCCAAGCAGGGCGAGUCCAUGGGCUGUGCCCAUGAUGGAAGACCACGACUGCCAUCAUGAUAGCUGGAAGUUUGUGGGCCACGACGCCGAUCCUGGUCAGAGCGGGCCUGGGGCUGCGCUUGUUGGAGCAGUGCCUUGUCAGAUUAGCCAUACGGUUGCUGUGUGCAAUUCUCAACCUGGACAGACAGGCCUGCCAGGCAGAAACUGCUCAGGCAGAUGAUGCUGGGGAGGACAAAAAUUAUCCACCGCAAGACUAAGAAGACAGAUGACACCCAGCAGGAAUGGCGAGCCAAAUCAUCAGAAUCCACAAUACAGCUGGCUAGCCCUAGGCUACCUGCCUCUUUGAAGUGGAAGAGACAUCACCGAUGAGCUGUCAAAUUAGAUCACCAGCCUGGAAACGCUGAAAGAGAUUUAGUUCUUCCAGCAGAGAAGGGGAAGUGUAAUAGAUGAAAAUCUUCCUAAAGGGGCCAAGGUAAUGUGGGAGGGGAAGGGGGAAUCCUGAACAUGCAACAAUGAAAAAUUACUAGCCUCUCUCCUGCCUGCACUGGAAAGAUGAAGUUGGCUGCGUUAUGUGGCAGCAGGAAUCACUGUAGUCACUACCAGCAUAGGAAAUAAGGGCGACGCCUGCAGGAAUGUGCACAUAGCAGCAACAAGCUAACAGGUAGGAUAUGCCAGCAUCCAGGUUUUGUGCAUUUUACCCAAAGAAUCACUGGCAAGUCAGUUGAUUUCAAGAGAUUUUCACCUACUCAGAGUGGACAGUGAAGAAAAGUAACUAAACUUGUUUGACUCAACCACUUCUGCUGUUAACUGGAAGCAAUACCUACGUUACCUGCCUGCCUCAUAGCACAACACUUGAAAGUCUGUUUGAACGUG
rnacentral:lncRNA from 1 species